AGAGUUUGAUCAUGGCUCAGAAUCAACGCUGGCGGCGUGCCUCAGACAUGCAAGUCGAACGCGAAAGUCCCCUUCGGGGGACAAGUAGAGUGGCGUCCGGGUGAGUAACACGUAGGUAAUCUACCUUCGGGUGGGGAAUAACGCAGGGAAACUUGCGCUAAUACCGCAUAAUGCAGCGGCACCACAUGGUGACAGUUGUUAAAGCGGGGGAUUUUCGAACCUCGCGCCUGAAGAGGAGCCUGCGGCAGAUUAGCUAGUUGGUAAGGUAAUGGCUUACCAAGGCGACGAUCUGUAACCGGCCUGAGAGGGCGGUCGGUCACACUGACACUGACAUACGGGUCAGACUCCUACGGGAGGCAGCAGUCGGGAAUUUUGGGCAAUGGGCGAAAGCCUGACCCAGCAACGCCGCGUGAAGGAUGAAAUCCUUCGGGAUGUAAACUUCGCAAGAAUGGGAAGAAUUAGCGAGUACUAAUACUGCUCGUGAUGACGGUACCAUUUGUAAGCUCCGGCUAACUCCGUGCCAGCAGCCGCGGUAAUACGGGGGGAGCAAGCGUUGUUCGGAUUUACUGGGCGUAAAGGGCGCGUAGGCGGCCAGCACAAGUCAGUUGUGAAAUCUCCGGGCUUAACUCGGAAAGGUCAACUGAUACUGUGCGGCUAGAGUGCAGAAGGGGCAACCGGAAUUCUCGGUGUAGCGGUGAAAUGCGUAGAUAUCGAGAGGAACACCUGCGGCGAAGGCGGGUUGCUGGGCUGACACUGAGCUGAUGCGCGAAAGCCAGGGGAGCGAACGGGAUUAGAUACCCUAGUAGUCC
rnacentral:rRNA from 1 species